rnacentral:lncRNA from 1 species
AGCACAAGCGAGUCAGCCCAACUAUUCUAAGCUAAAUCAAAUCACCACAAUGUAUCAUCAUGAUGUGAAGAUAUUGUAGAAUAAUACAAAUAAUUUCACCAUAUUUUCAUCUUAUUCAUUUCAAGCUAGGUGAAGAAAUAAAGCUCCUCAUCUUAGACACUGUUCCUCUACAGAUGGUACUGGUCAGAUCUAGUUCCUGUGGAUGAAAAUGUGAAUUGUAUACCUUUAUUACAAUAAAAGGAUUGAACUGGAGCUUUAAAACGAG